GCAGAGCACUCCUCCGGGAGGCAGCAGUGGGGAAUAUUGCACAAUGGGCGCAAGCCUGAUGCAGCCAUGCCGCGUGUAUGAAGAAGGCCUUCGGGUUGUAAAGUACUUUCAGCAGUGAGGAAGUGGGUAUGUUAAUAGCAUACUCAUUUGACGUUAGCUGCAGAAGAAGCACCGGCUAACUCCGUGCCAGCAGCCGCGGUAAUACGGAGGGUGCGAGCGUUAAUCGGAAUUACUGGGCGUAAAGCGCAUGCAGGUGGUUUGUUAAGUCAGAUGUGAAAGCCCGGGGCUCAACCUCGGAAUUGCAUUUGAAACUGGCAAACUAGAGUACUGUAGAGGGGGUAGAAUUUCAGGUGUAGCGGUGAAAUGCGUAGAGAUCUGAAGGAAUACCGGUGGCGAAGGCGGCCCCCUGGACAGAUACUGACACUCAGAUGCGAAAGCGUGGGGAGCAAACAGGAUUAGAUACCCUGGUAG
rnacentral:rRNA from 1 species